CCUACGGGACGCAGCAGUGAGGAAUAUUGGUCAAUGGCCGAAGGGCUGAACCAGCCAAGCCGCGUGAAGGAAUAAGGCCCUACGGGUCGUAAACUUCUUUAGUCAGGGAACAAAGGGUGCCACGUGUGGCGCUGUGAGUGUACCUGAAGAAUAAGCAUCGGCUAACUCCGUGCCAGCAGCCGCGGUAAUACGGAGGAUGCGAGCGUUAUCCGGAUUUAUUGGGUUUAAAGGGUGCGUAGGCGGUUUUUUAAGUUAGUGGUUAAACGUCGGGGCUUCACCUUGAUUUGCCCUUAAUACUGUAAGAC
rnacentral:rRNA from 1 species